rnacentral:misc_RNA from 1 species
GAACGCACCUUGCACCCUUUGGCCAUUCCGAAGGGUAUGCCUGUUUGAGUAUCAUGAACACCUCAACUCUCAUGGCUUGCCAUGAUGAGCUUGGACUUUGGGGGUCUUGCUGGCCUGCAGUCAGCUCCUCUCAAAUGAAUUAGCUUCCCAGUGUUUGGUGGCAUCACAGGUGUGAUAACUAUCUACGCUUGUGGUUCCCACCAGGUAACCUUCAGUAGAAUGGGGGUUCGCUGGAGCUCAUAAACGUCUCUCCUCGGCGAGGACAGCUCUUUGAACAUUUGAUCUCAAAUCAGGUAGGACUACCCGCUGAACUUA